CUCAAGGAAGAUAAUGACGGUACUUGCGGCGGAAGCCGCGGCUAACUACGAGCCAGCAGGCGCUGUAAUACGUAGAGGGCUAGCUUUAUCCGGAGUUACUUGGCGUAAUGGGUGCAUAGGCGGUCUUGCAAGUCAGGAGUGAAAGGCUACGGCUCAACCGUAGUAAGCUCUUGAAACUGGGGGACUUGAGUGCAGGAGAGGAGAGUGUAAUUCCGAGUGUAGCGGUGAUAUGCGUAGAUAUUAGGAGGAACACCAGUUGCGAAGGCGGCUCUCUGGACUGUAACUGACGCUGAGGCACGAAAGCGUGGG
rnacentral:rRNA from 1 species